CCUUAACAAAGCAGCAAAUGGAAAAUCUCAAUGGAUUAAAUGCUCCUUUUUGUCUCCACAUCAAUAUUUCAUAAAGGAAUUACACCUAGUAUGUUCCACUCCUACUGCUCAUUGUGCACAGAUAAGCAAGCAACUGUGGGUCAGCACUCAGGAUGACGUGCACCAAAUAUCACUAAUAUUAGUUAGUUCUUGCCAAGCCCAAACUGCUAUUAUUCCCCACUUGUUUCCCAUUAUCCUUGUCCUUCCCACUCUCCCCACCUACACAACAUUAAAAAUGUAACAGAGAAAUAUAGCUGUGGUGUCUGUGGGUUUUCCAGCUAUACGUUUUAAGCAGUCAGUGUUUAACAUCACCAGCACUGAGAUAACCACCUCAUCUAUAGCACUUUUCUCUUUAAAUACCCAAGUCCUCAAGGACAGUUCUCAGUUUUCGGAGGGGGAAAAUGAGGCAUUUGUGGAAGUGGGACUCAGCAACUAAGGCACGUGCUGAAUUUGGAAGCAAAAUGUAUCCUUCCCAGCUCCACCCCCUGGUGCUCUGCAGCAUCUCCACUCACAGCAGAGCAGUGAAGGCAACAUCUCCUUUCUGAUGUGAAUCUUCCCUGGAGCAGAACAGCCCUGAGCUCCAGCCUCACUGGCAAGAAAUAGAAAUGGUCCCUUCUCCAAACCAACAGUAUGCCCAGGUAAUGAUUAGGUGAGAAUGGGACCACCCUCCUCAGUAUGUUUCGUGACUGUAAAAGGAAGAAGGUCCUCCACGAAUUUCUUUCUUUUGCUUCACCUCAAACAGCCUGCGGAACAAGGCGGCCUCCCUCUGGGAUUUCAGUUAUUUGUGAAGAGGUCUUGUUCCUUUCACCAGCAGUACAGCACACAAAGCAUUCUUUCCCUGCUUUUUUUCAGGACUUCCACCCUGACACUGUUUCUUUGCCAUCCCGAAGACUUCAUGCCAGCAACCAGGGAUUAAAAAGACUGUUUGCAAGGAUGCGGAUGCUCUUGGCAAAUGAGGAAGGGCUCCAGGAAAUGAAGAAGGAUUAUCUCUGAAAAAUGCAAAGAAACUUGGUGAAGUGGAGUGCCACCACAUCCCAGGGAGCUACAAGUAGGUGCUCUUCACUUGCUGUCAGACAGAAAGUAUAUACAGACAGUUUUG
rnacentral:lncRNA from 1 species